AGGCAGCUGUGUGGAUCAUCAACAUUCCUAAAGGAUCUGAGGUGCUGCUCUGGGAUGGUGUCCAGUAAACAUCCAGCAGUCAAACAACCCCAGCAAUGCAGCUAAUGCCAAAUUCUGGAUUCCACGAGCAUAGAUUUGUAACAAACACUGAGCUUCUAAUUUGCAGCAGCUUUCCAUGUAUCAAAACUACCAUGGGCUUGCAUCAUCCUCAAACUUUUGUUUUCCCACAGCUUGUUAGUGUAAAGAAGACCACCUUGAGGAUAAUACUUGAAUCUUUUAAGGACACCCUGAAAAUAUUUGGCCAAAAUUGUAGGAUUAAUACUACUGUCAGGAAAAUGCUUUCAAUUCAGAUAUUUCAAUCAAAUCUUUUGAAUGGAGCCUCAGCCUCUGUGAUGAAGCACCCAGCCAAGCCACUGGCCAGAGGAGAAGAAAGGCUAGUCAAAGAGAAACCAUAAUGUUCUAGUAACCUAAAAUUUGCAUAUUUGACCUCCAACCAUACCUGUUCGUCCUAGACUCACUUGUUUUGACAUUACUGUAUGUACAGAUAGUGAAAGUGAAAACAGCUAGACCUGACUGGCAGUGAUUGUUGGUUCUGUUGGACAACAAAUAAAAUAUUGAUUAAGCUCUAUGACAGAAGCAAAACUAAAAUUAAUCUAAACCUUCCUAAUGUUUACAGCCCCUGUAUAGUUUGGAUUUGUUUUCACAAUUUAAACAGGUCCCUUAAAGAAUAAAAUAAAAAAAUAAGAUAAAAUAAAAUAAAAUAAAAUAAAAUAAAAUAAAAUAAAAUAUAGUGGUAGCACAUUUCUAGAAUGUACUUUCCUGAUUUUCAUUUUUUCUCAGUUAUCAAAUUAGAAAUAAUAUAGUUGCUCUAUCUCUUAGUCUGUGGAAUUUCAGAAAUGAAGCUGAUUCAGUUGAGGGAUUCUGUUAUGUCAGAAGAGACAAUGGCAAUACAACAGUAUCUCUUCUUGGGCUGUAAUAUGAUUCUUGGGUUUGACCUGUAGCUCACCAAAGAUAAAUGGAGAAUACUUACUGAGUUUGUUCAGAUCUGAACAGGGAUCUGAAUUAAACUUAAUCCACAGAGAACAACAUUGUUUUUUUAUCCACAGAACUUAAAAUUCUUCUAGCAGCUUUGCCCACUGAGUCAAAGUCACUUUUUGUUUAGCAGCUUUUAGAUGCAUAGCCUGAAUAAGAAUAUAAUUUAUUUUAUCAUCACUGUUUUGAUUGCUUUGAUUAUGGUGCUUCUUAAUAUUAAUGUAGAGAGUGUAGUUACAAACUUUCUCACAAUAUUUCACAAAAAUUUAGCAUAUAUUUCAUGUGUUAGAGACAACUAGGCUGAAUGUAUAUUUUUCCUACUGGAGUAACUUCUGAGUAUUUUGUGAGAAGAGAUACAACACUGAAGUUAGAAUCUCUGAAAUAUCAUGACAAAAAAAACCCCAAGCUUCUCAUCACAAAGAAGUUCAGCCUUAUAUUUUUGAUGCACGUCUAAAUUCUGUAAUGAUUUCAGUCUACAGAAUUGAUAAUGCCCAGAAGACUGUAUCAGUACCUUAUGACUUUCAGUGCAUCCAAUGUUUUGCUUAAAUAUGUCUGCCUCAGUUGAUAUACUGCCUAAAGGCCAAUAGAAUAGUUUUACAUUUUGAACAGGUUCUAAAAUUUAAAUCAGGAAAAGACCUUUGCUGCAUUUUCUAUCAACUUGAGAAAAAGUCUACACAAGAAAUGAUAUAACCUAGAUUCACACUUGCAAAAGGAUUAAUAGUAAUACUUUGUAUUCAAGGGGACAAGAGAGAUUGGUGUUAUAUAAUAUUUCAAAGCUGCUGAACAAAGCAACUUGAUAAUGGAGGUAAUCUGAAGUGAAAUAUCCAAGUUUUAAAGAAACUCUGAUUGAGUGAUGCUGUUAAAGUCACCAGGAAUGCUGCAUCUCUGGAGAUAGCCUUAGCAAGGAACUAGGCCAACGAACUGAAGCUCUUGGCUUCAUCUUUAAUAGAUAAGAAGCUCAUUUUGCAAAAAUCAAUGUAGCACAGUUAAAUUGAGGCUCUGGUAAUUAUAGUAGCUGAAGUUCCUCUGUUAGAUCUCUUCCAUACUUCAUCCAAUUUAACUGCUUAUGCUGCCCUGCUAUGCUGCCACUCUACCUUUUUCUUCCCAGCCUCCAAAAUAACACCAGAGUUGACUGGGUAAACAUGGCAUACAAGAAAAACCAACUGGUCAGCAGUCAGGCAGUAAGCAGCAUUAUGGCAGUAUUUCAACUCUAGAACAACAAAAGCAACGGUGUACAGAGAAACUAUGGAGAGCAGCCUCAGAGCACAGCAGGGUUACUGCAUCUCUGCAAGAGAGAAGCAGCAGAGCAUGGAAGUCUAUAGGGCAAAAGGUCAAACAGUUUUUGGCAGCAGAUGUAGCUUAUGGUCUGGGUUAUUAAGUAUAGUGCGGUGAAGAAGCAAUAAUGAAGUUUUGGAACCCACAAAUACUAUUAAAAACUCUGCAGGUCCUUAAAAAAGAUAGACUGGGUGUCAUAAUGCUUACUGAGCUCAGAAGAGCAUAAAGCAAAGAAUGUGGCAGAAUUACAAGGAAAGAUUGCUGCAAAAGCCAAAGACUGAAAAUCAAAGAUAGAAAAUAUGUGAGAAAAUCCCCAGAGAUGAAAUGGGCUUGCCGCAGUUGCUGCCUUUUCCAAUAAAAAAGAAUAAAACCAUUUUUCAGUUGAUUUCCAUGUGACAAGAUGACAAAGGAGCACUUGGAAUGACUAUGACAAAAGCAUGUAUAACGCAAAACCUUACUAAUUAAUAUAUUGAUUUUUUUAGAAAUAAAUUAUAGCCUUUCUGAUGUCUGAUAAAUGUAAAUCAGUAACCGGAAUUACUAGCUGCUUUACUCUUAUAGGCAUACAGUGCUCUGAUAGUCUUAACUAGAGGGAUUUGCAAACUUAUUACUUUUUAUCUCAUUUGGAAAAAUAUAAAUUGGGUGUUGAAACUGCAGUGAACCUUAUUAAAUACCUUCCCUAUCCCCACUGGUUGCCUUAAGUGCACAGUAGCUUUCUUGUUGCUGUAAGAGGGAUGAAAGAUUUAGAAGCUCAUAUCUCCCUGAAAGGCAGCACACACAUGCAGAUCUGAAGAGAGUGCUUUCUCAUUUGUAACAAUGCCAAAAUUUUAUUGUGAUGCCUUGGAAGCAUCUCUGAGUAUUGAUUCUGAAAAACAAUGGCACAGGUUCAGCCCUGGUGAAAGCAGUGGAGUCAGCUUAUCCAGCUUGCUUUUGAGGACUUAGCCAUCUAUCAAGUGAACAUAGCAGUUUUUGCAUAUCCGAAUGAAUCAUUCCUGUACAGAAAACUGUACAGGACUCUACAGGAAUGCUUAGCCUACUCUCGGUGCUACUAAACUAAUCUACACUUCACAAUUAACACUUUUUUCUCUUGCUCUCAAAAGCAAUGUUCAGUGACUUUUCGCUUUGAGAUUCAGCUACUGUGAUUUCAACUUCGAACAGCUGAUCCGUGUUGUGAGAGAGGCUGCCAGCCUUUCCAUUAGUAGUCACGGGGACCGUCACGUGCUCCUUCCAUUGUGCCUGUAGAUCUUUUCCCUUCUCUGGCUCACGCUGCAUAACCUCUUUUCUCUCCGACGUCACAAGCGCUGCAAUCCUUUUCCUUUUCUGUUUCAUGCACAGCAAUAAUCUCCUGCUAACGCACCAGCUCUGACUAAGAGAAUAAGCCCUGUCACCUCCAAGCUCAAGCAGCUUCCUGAAUAAUAUCACAUGAUGGGAGAUUACAUGCUUAAAAUGUAUUUCAGUCUUAGAGUUUUCUUGCUGGUCUAAAGUAAUUCAAGCCCUUCCUUGCAGGCUGGGAUGCUGCCCAAAUCCCUCCCCAGGCCUGUAACCCUGUGGCCCCUUGUCUAGCAUGACCUGACUCCAUACCUGGCCUUCUAAUGAGUGUCCAGGUUGCUGGUGAGGCACACGCCUUCUGAUGUGCCUUUAGCUCCCAGGGAUGGCACUGCACUGUGUACCUCUGUUAAGAUGUUGCAACAAUAACACCGCUGUGGUGCAGCACUUAGACCCUUCCAAAUUGCCAAGUUCUAUGCAAAACAGGUUGCAUUUUGCAAUCCUGCUGUCUUAGUAUGUAGCUGAUUAUUAGCCUUCUUAUUUACUUCGUAAUGUUGUAGGUCGGUAUGUAUGUGUUUAUAUUUCUCCCACUGGGAUUUUCACUAAGUUUUCAAUAGAUAUGGUAAGUAUAAAUCUUUACACAACAUUUUGGGAAAUAAAGUGAGCAGGUUGAUAUAUCUGAAUAUCCUAAUUUAUACUAAGAAUUGGGUCCCUGAAUAGCUCUGUUACAUAAAGUCCAAGUUCAUGCGCAAGUACUGGGGUACAUAGGUGAUGUUUUAUAGAAAUUUAGUAUUGAAAAAGCUUUGGACAAGAGAUUUCUCCUCACCCUUUACCAUUUUUAAACUGUUCUUUUCCCUGGACUCUGAAGACUGGCAAAUAGGUACUUUAUGUUGCAGAAGUCUGUAGUAAGUCUCUAGUGCAUCAUGCAGUCAGAGAUACAUAAAAUACUACUUUCUUCUUCACAAAAUCUCAUGGGGAUUUUAUUGUUUGUUUGGUGUUGGUUUUUUAAUUGUUGGGGUUUGUUGUUGGGGGUGCUGUUGUUGUUGUUUUCCUCCACAACAAACUGAUGUAAAAAAGCCAAAGUUGUGCAGGAUGCCUGAGCUCAUUACGUGCUCUACUACACAACUUUAAGAGCAAUAUUUUGCUCUGUAAUAUGCUAGCUGUAAAGUGAGGGUACUAUUUCUUACCUUUUUUAGUAAGCCUGUUUGAGAUAAGUGUGAAGGGAUAAUUAUACAUGAUUACUAUGAUAACACUGUUCUUUUUAAUGUGUGGUUUCAUGCAAUACUUCCUAAAAAUCUUAUUGCUAUGCCAUUGAAGCAUCCAUUAGCCUUUUCAUGUUAAACUAUGAUUUUUCAUUUUUUUUACAAGACAGCAUGAUUUUUGUGAUGUAACUGCCUUUCUGGCUGGGCACUUUCAACCAAUGCUGAAGUGAAAGAGAGACAAUAGGUUUCUCUUUCAGCUUGCUUUUCUUGGCAGGCACAUGAAAUGGAUACAAUCUGGAAUUAUGUAGAAGAGUUUUAGGGUGGAAUUAAUUUUAUUUUUGUUUGGCUAUCUAAAAGUUUGCCAUCCAGUUGAGGUCAAUUUUGUAGCCAAAUAUUCUCUAGUGAGUACCUAAGUUGGCUGUCAGCCUUCCUCAUAGUCUCGUUAAUAUUUUUGAGUCUGCUGUGGAAACAUUUUGUCAUUCUAAAGUAAUGCGUAUUUUCACAUAUGAGAAGAAAUUAGUUUUCCUUCUAUUAUGGAGUUAUUAUUUUUUUAACCUGGGUGUACAAGUUUCUGUAUUUAAAAAGUGUAUUUGGAGGUAGUAAAAAUAAUUUAUCACAAGUAAUAAUGUAAGAGAGGUCAAGAGCAUAAAAGUCUUUCUUCUUGUGAUUUUAGUUUGUAGCUACCAAGAAUCUGUCUAGCCAAGAGACAAUUAUUCCUGCCCUAUUACAUAGCUAUAAAUAACUGAAAUUUCAGUGGCAUUUAUUCAGAGCUGGAGAGAUUACUAAGCACAGCUUGGUUUAGAUGUGUUUUCUGAGAUGUAAAGCUUUUAACCUGAGCUUUGCUUUGACGUUUGAGCCUAUCCUGGGUUAGAUGCAUAAUUCGUACUGGCAUCAGGUGAAAAAGGGAGGUCUGUUCUGUUUGUCACCCUCUCUAGACUAGAACAUGGCACAAUUCAGGACACCAGAGUUAAGUUGUAAAGAUAUGAGGUGGAAGCUGGAGUGUGGCUAAGUUUUAUUAUCCUGAGUGGGACUAUAUGUGAAAUGCCAUGGCUUAUUUAAGCUUGAGCGACUUCUUAGAAGCUUUAGUGAAACAUAGGUGGAACAUUCUUCCUUCAAGAUGCCAUGUGAGCUUGUGAUUGAAUUUUAUGGACUCUUAGGUGCAGAAGCUUGAUCGUCUACUCUGACAGAUGUAUGGAAAUUCCAUGAGUUCAACAUAAUUUCUUCCUCAUUUUAGAUGGCAACACUGUGACGUGGGAAAGGGCUGUACGGUUGAAUGAAUCAUAGCAUACAGGAGGUCAGUAACUGGGAUCUAUUUUUCCUGACUCUCCUGCUCCACAGAUAUGUUUUCCCUUACUCCACUGCCAUAAAAUCAUAAUGUGCCAUCUAGGCUUUGUUACUGUUACAAUGGCAUUGUGAAAGAAACCUAAUUAGAAAACGGAAAUCCCCUUUAGCCCUGUUAGGAAUUAAUAUGAAAGGUAGUGAGGCACAUCAUAACACCAACACCAUAAGUUUUUUUAAAAUACAUUUUAUUCCUGGAUUUAUUGAGAAAUGUUAUUAGUAGAUUUGGAGCAUCAAAUGAACAACUGUGUAAUGCAAGGAAUAAGAAGCUGAUGGCAAACAAUGGAUCAGAUACAGCUAAAGCAGAGUGUCAAUUGCAGCUUAGGUUUAAAAUUUGGAGAGGCAAGCUAUGAAAGGAAGAAAAGGUAAGAAAUAAUAGAUAACAUUUAGUAUUAAAUAUCAGUCAGUACUUAAGACCUUGAUUUGCUGAAAGACAUCCAGAAUGUUACUUGAAGUCUCAGUUUUAAAAUUAAAUUGAGUAUUUGAGGGCCUGAGGCCAUGGUCAGCCAAUGACUGCAAACACAACCGUGCAUGCUUAAGAUGCUACUGCCCACUGCAUGGCCACCCCACAAGCUGAGCCAGAAGACUAGAGGCACUUUGGAAGGGGUAUAACUUCUCCUAAAUUACUUCAGUAUGAAGUUAGUUGGAUUAGCUUAAACUGCUGUUCAAAGCAGUUUAAGCAUUAGAUAGUUGACAGCUAUUGUACUUAAAUUACCAUGACUGGUAAACAUUUUAAUGUUUGUUUAUAAGAUGGCUGAAAUAUGUCUUAAGCAAAUAAUUUAAUAAAAGCAGUAACAAUAAACAUCCUGGCAAGUAUACAGGGUGUACCAAAGACUUCAACAAUUCUCAGAAUUACUUUUGCACUGUAGUGCUUCAAUUUUAAGUCAGAAUUGGCAGGAACAGUAAACUAAUUAAUGCUGGAUUACAAUGGAAUUCCUAUAGAUGUGUAUAUGACAUCUACAUUAAUACCAAAUGAGGCCUUUGUGAUUAAUGUUACCAUGAUGAACACCAAAGGUAUUAAUAAAGAUUAGACAUGGUUAACCAAAAGAGGAUAGUUCAUUGCAAAAAGAUGAUGUUCAAUAUAAAAAUGAUCAAUGUCACCCCUUAAAAUUCAUGUUAGCAAAAUGAUAAGGAUCUGACUAAAACUGAGAAGCCCAGACUGUCCUCUUAGAAGUGCGGCAGCCUGAUCCUUUCUGGUGAGUCAGGCACACACAUCUGCUGUUUGAGGGGCACUCUGUGUAAUUUGACAGAUGUGUAUUCAGUGGGACCACAUUUGGAUCCACUCAAGCACCACCGACAGCAUGAUUAUGCGCAGAGAAGAAAGCCAAUAAGGUUUCCUUAAAACUCAUAUGACAGAAGAAAAAAGAACCCCAAACCCUGAUUCGAUAUCUGUGCAGAUGGCACGUGUGGGUGGUACAUGAGUAGGUUUUCCUUACUAGUUUCUUUGCGUGUUAUCAUCCUAUAGACUUUCUUCAACCUCAGUAGCCUUCUCACCUUUGCCUCUGAUUUUCUGCAAUUUAUUUAAAGGGUUAAAUUUAACUGAAGUAAUAGAUUAUCUGAGGAUUUCUUUGAAGCUAUAACUUACUAUAACCUAGUAAAAUUUGUAAGUGUGAAAAUGAAAUGUGUUUUUAAAAUAUGCUCACAUAUUUAAAUUGCUGACAAAUGUUAUUAGAUUUAGAUGGAGUCAUGUGGCAGAUAAUUGAUGAGUUCAUGCUGAUCAACCAGUGGAGCCAAACCAGACAUACCUACUGGGCUUCAUAUGGUGCCGUAAGAGGAAAGACAAUGUUUGGAGGCUGUUUGCAAGGAGAGAAGUACAAGGAUCUGAGGAAGUUUGUUUCAAUACACUGAGGGGAUUGUUACAAAUGAAGAUAUAUGGAACAGACCACAGAAUCUCACUCACUUUUCCUACCUCUGUCAGGGAGACAGUCACAGCCCCAAGCCUGACAGUGUUCAAGAAGAGGCUGGGCAACGCCUUCAGACACAUGGUGUGAACUGUGGGGUUGUCCAGUGCAGGGACAGGAGUUGGACUCAGUGAUCCUUGUGGGUCACUUCCAACUCAGGACAUACAAUGAUUCUAUGAUUCUAUACCCUGCAUCUGAAGACAUAUCCUCUACAAUGGCACUCAGUGCAAGGGGAGGGCUCAGAAGGUUGGCGAGGAGUCAAGGACAUGGCUCGGCAUGCGCUAUCUCAUCUCAGUUCAUGACGUGAACAUCCUGCCACUGCUGAUGAUCAUCAGGUCACAGUGACCCUAGCCUCUAUCUAUUACAAUGGUGUAUUGUUUGUUGUGUAGCCACGUGGGCAUGAUAUAUGUCAUCUGCUGUUAAAAGGAAAAAAUAUGUAAGUUGAGGCAUGAGUUGAGCCCUGACUGGACACCCGAUGCAAUUAUCCACUUUUCCCCUGCAAUCCUCUGCAUGAUUACUGGGACUCCUCACACCAGCUGGAGUGUGAGUCAAUAAACUAACAGAUAUCUAGCCCCUGUUGGGAUUCCACAUUUCACCUGACAGUAUUGAACUGCACAGCAGUUUCUGAGAACCUCUUCACCUACAGCCAGCAUUCUCAGAAUACAGUCUUGACAAUUUUUUCCCAUUUCUCUUAUCACUUGUGAAAACACAGCAGUCUCUGUGAUGGAGAGGGAGUGCUGGGAGCUAGGCCUCUCCCCAAAGGGACCUGCUGGGCCGGGAAACCAUAAGGGACAACUAGACGAGCUUCAGUAAAAUAAGCAGUAUGAUCUUAUUAUAGUGCUAUUUUCAGAAUAUGUUUUUAAACAUUUUAACUAUGUCACUGAAAAGUUAAAGUGGUAAGGAAAAUCUUUCUGCAGCAAUACCCAGAGAGGUUAGAAUGACUUACAUACAAUUAGUACUUUAUUUGAUGCAUGGAAUAGCUCUAUGAAGUCUGUGAUGUACUUUAAUGCCUUUGUUGUUCAGAAUUAUUUGACAAAGCAUUAUAUCAAUGUUUAUAAUUUAAAUCAAGCUUUCUGUGAGAUUUUUAUUUUAGUACUUGUUUCUGAAAUUCUGUUGGACGUGUGUGAAAGGUCAAUUAUGCUGCAUUGCAUUAUUCUCUGAUAGAACAGCUGGUCAAGGCAAGAUACUCCCUCAUGCCUUUAAAAUUUUUUGUGUGUGUGUUUUUGGUUUUUUUUGUGUUGUUUUGUUUUUGUUUGUUUGUUUGUUUUUCUAUAAACCUUUUCUUCUUCAGGCAAUUUAAACAUUAUUGCAUAAGUAUCUGUACAGUUUACACUGUACAGAAAUUGAAUUGGAAUAAAAUACAAAGCAUUUCAAAACAGCAGCAGGUUUAACCCAGGUCCAGCAAUAUCCUGAACUUCACUCUGUAUAAUACGAAAUACAAUAUGGGCUGUAGAGGAGAAGAAAGGUAUGAGACAGAUCAUCAUUAGCUCCCAUAAACAGCUCACCAGCUAACUCUUGUGCUUUGCGCCUGCAACUCAGCCAGAGGGACAACAUUAGUACAGUGGAGUUAUUUCCAAACUAGGAAACAACUUUUCAGAAAAAUCUAUAUUUUCCCCAUAUAUACUUUUGGGUUUUUUUUUUACAGAAAGUUCCCUUUCUUUUGAGAAACUGGAAGCAUGACAUGAAUCUGCAUUUUUGACAAAGAUGAUGUCUUGUCAAGAAAGGAAAACAGCAGCAUAUACAUAUAUAUAUAUUGCAGGGUAAGCCACAAAUGGACACUUUAGGGCCUUUCUUAUGUAGACUACAGGAAAGAAGAGGUGCUAGCUGGGCUUUGGAAACUGCAAAGUAAUUACAAACACUCUCUUCAUUUCAAACUGGUGUUGAGACCUAAUGACAUAAUUGUCUAAGGCCAAAUUCACAGUUGAACGAGGUCUGCUGAUGCAGCUCUGCUACCAGUUCCUGCUGGUGAUGAUGUCCUUAAGGCCUGAAAAGAUUGAUUUUGCCACCAUAGGCAGGUCUGACUCUCCAGGCGCAAUCUAUCAACAAAAUUAAAUCUUUAAGGAAAAACACUCUUAUGCUUUUUGCACUAGAGUACUACUGCGAAAAUAUUAUUGAGAUGAAAAUUUUCUCUCUAAACUACAGUGUUGUAACAGUGAAAGAUUUUUAUGUUAGACUAUGGCUUUUGAGAAAUCAGCAGUGAAAUUUUAUAAAAUUGAAUGGUGAGGCCUUUUUAAAGUGUACAUUUCAGUAUAGAAAGGAGGCUUCCUAAGAGUUUGCCUUGUGUUGAACAACAUACUUGCCAACUGAAUAACAUGGUGCUGAGCCCGGGACAGUAAACCCUGCUGAGAGGUAAGAUGUAUUGGAUCAGGUUUGGAUUUCCUCCAGUCUGAUUGUGCUCCUCUUACUUCAUUUGUAUCAUGCACAGAGCAAGCUCACAUUUGCCUAGAGAGUGGUAUGUGGACAUACAGUAAGAUGCAGCUGCAAGAAUACAAUAUUAAGAAAAAACCAACAACUAAUAGUGGAAAUGUUCCCAGAGAAAUACUGGGGUAGAGGCAUGUCAGAAAACAAUAGCAGAUGGGAUGAUAAUGUGACCACUUUAGUGUUUAGUGGUCUACAAUGAAAUAAUUUGACUUUAAAAAAAUCAAAUGUCAAUGAAUAUUUUUCCAACUCACCACGUUCACUGACCUUUGCAUUGACUGUUCUCUGUGAGCCUUUAAGAUGGAGCACACACAGCAUGUGGAGUCCCAUAUCAUGUCGGUCAUCAUUCUCUGCCUGACAUUUUGUGUGUUCCUAAAUUGAUAUGUUCCAGAUUAAUGAGGCAUUUGUUCUCAAUCAAGAAGCUAUUUAAGAAUACAUUUUUAAUUGUAAUGGGUUGUAUAUGAUUAAUUAUUUCUACAUGGCUUGCUCUUAUUUUUGAAUAGUUCAAAGCAGAUUUUUUUUUUCCACUGGGUACUGCCCAAAUCUUUUCAAUGUUCAUACUAGUUAUCACCCAAUAAUUUAUGGAAGUGAAUUGUCUUAAUGUGGGCUUGUGAACUUCUUUGAGAAAUUUGCCUGGAGCUCAUUUUUGUAAUGACCUUCAAUGUUCUUGUCUGUAAAAGGAAUAAGAGGGAUGACACAACAAGCUGGUUUCAAAAACUCUGUGUUUAGGUUAUUAUUAUUAUUAUUAUUUUUUUAAGACUCCAUUGUUUAAGAACUAUUCAUCUCACAGUUGGUUCUGAUGAGAACGUGUAGCCAUUUUAGUAUUGUUCUGUGCUCAUCCCUCUGGUUUAGUUGAGGUCUACUCUUUUAAGUGAGCUAUGGCUUUAAAAAAAAAUGUCUUUCAAUGACCAGUACAUUCCAGAGUGGACCAAGUUGUUCCCUACAUAUGUGCUCCCUUCAUGAGGGAAAAAGGACAUGUGUUUUCCUUUGCAAAGCUUGCUUCAGACUUUUUUUCACGCCCUGAAGAAUUUCCAUUUGUUGCUGUUCUUGAAAGGACAAAAGCCUCAGUGCUUCAGGGCUCUGCAUCUUGAGGGAUGGUAUUAUAAUUCUGAUUUUAUGACCUCUCUUUUCUCUUUGUUGUAUGGGACAUACCCUGUUUCCCUGAAAAUAAGACCUACUCCAAAAAUAAUCCCUAGUUAGAGUGCAUCAACAAAGUCAAUUUGAAUAGUGCCCAGCUAUACAUGUAAAAAAGUAAUAAGUUUUGGAGCAAAAAUUAAUAUAAGACCCUGUCUUAUUUUUGUGGAAACAGGGUAGUUUUGGCAAGAGUAACCAUGGGCCUAAUAGCGAUCAGCACACUAGAUUCUGAACUCAGAAGAGAAUUUGCACUUAAAAGGGAAGAAGAGAUUUUCUCUCCUUCAAAUUAGUAAAUAAUUAAAUUAACAUUAACUUAAUCCUACCCUUCCCGUAAGAUCUGUUGCCACAAAUGGCUACAGUGAUUCCAAGUGAAUCGCCUGUAGAAGGAUUUGGGUGCAGAGGAGGCUUUUUACCCUUUCACAUCACCUUUGUCUGCUGCUGUCAGGUAGAUAAUCUGAUCAUCCACUCACAAGAUACACUAUCCUUUUAUUGAGUGGGUCCAGUCUAGUAAAGUACUAGCCAUGAAAAUGCUACAAUAUGAGAAUAAUAAGAACCCAAAGUGCUUGUUAGAGCUGUCUGUAGACAGAAGAUUUUUUACAAGUUUCAUGUGAAAUGUCGGCAGCUGGCAUCAAGCUAUUUUUCUUGGCUGUUUAUGUUUUAGAUAAGCAAGGGCAACAUCAUGAGGAAAAAUCCAUUUGUUCAAAGGGACCCAUUAAGACUAAACUUAGGGGCUAUAGCAUCAGAUUAUGUGCUGUCUGUGGGUGGCUUUUUGAAGCAUAUGGUGACUGAAUUUAUGUUCUCUCCUUCUCUUCUCAUACAGAAUAUGUCAUGAGGAACAGCUCCUCCAAAAGAGCUUUCUCUGUGGGGAAAGACAUUCAAAUUACUUUGAUUUUCCUAGUAUCUAUCAUGGCAGUACGUUCCUGCAGGGCAAGGGACAGAGGUUUGUCAGUUAAGUUUACAGUAAAAGGGCACAAGUGGUGCAGAAUGACUUAGCAGAGAAUUAAAAGAAGGAAUUGCGAAUGAAACAAACUGUAGAGUAAUGAAAAAGUGCAGAGACGCUAAAAACAUCCAGUAACCGUCCCUCACCCCUCCAUUCCCCCCAGCCUCCCAGUAUGGCAUGUCAUUCAGGGCUCUUCUCACAAGUGCCAGUGACACGUUUUGGUGAAAUUUCAAAGGUUAGAUCCCUUCCCCAUUCCUCAGGGGGAGGUCAUCGCCCUUGAUCUGCAUCAGGCAACAGAUCUGAAUGUGUGAUUACAUACAAGCUACCACAUCUCAUGGCUGAUUUGUUUUAAUUUAAACUGCUGCAUAAUUUAUUAAUACAGUGGGCUGUAGACAGCAGGAGGGCAGAAACACUUAACUAUUUUGCCAGGCAGGAGGGAAGCAUAAUCCUCCGCUCUUCCCAGAGCAACUUGAUGGUGCUCGUGGGUCAGAGCUCUUAUUCUAGAAAGUACUUCUCUUAUCCUGGUGGUCAGAGGCUGAAUUUUGCACUCAGAAUUGCUUUUGUAUAGAUGCAUGUGUGUGAAGGGGAUGAGAUGAUAGCAGAGAUGAGUAAAGAAACUCUCUGAAAUACUGUUUUUGAACUCUGUGGCUACAAUUGCACUAUAAAAAAAAAAAGAACAACCCAACCAACAACACAGCUUCAAGAGAGUACAGUAUCACAGAAUCACAGAAUGUUAGGGACUGGAAGGGACGUCGAAAGAUCAUCUAGUCCAAUCCCCCUGCUGGAGCAGGAACACCUAGAUGAGGUUACACAGGAACGUGUCCAGGAGGGUUUUGAAUGUCUCCAGAGUAGGAGACUCCACAACCUCCCUGGGCAGCCUGUUCCAGUGCUCUGUCACCCUCACUGAGAAGAAGUUUCUUCUCGUAUUUAAAUGGAAACUCCUGUGUUCCAGUUUGUACCCAUUGCCCCUUGUCUUAUCAUUGAUUGUCACAGAGAAGAGCCUGGCUUCAUCCUCGUGACACUUACCCUUUAUAUUUAGAAACAUGAAUGAGGUCACCCCUCAUUCUCCUCUUCUCCAGCUCCCUCAGCCUUUCCUCAUAAGGGAGAUGCUCCACUCCCUCGGUCAUCUUCAUGGCUCUCCACUGGACUCUCUCCAGCAGUUCCCUGUCCUUCUUGAACUGAGGGGCCCAGAACCGGACACAAUAUUCCAGAUGUGGUCUCACCAGGGAAGAGUAGAGGGGGAGGAGAACCUCUCUCGACCUACUAACCACCCUCCUUCUAAUACACCCCAGAAUGCCAUUGGCCUUCCUGGCCACAAGGGCACAGUGCUGGCUCAUGGUCAUCCCGCUGUCCACCAGGACCCCCAGGUCCCUUUCCCCUACACUGCUCUCUAACAGGUCAUUCCCAACUUAUACUGGAACCUGGGGUUGUUCCUGCCCAGAUGCAAGACUCUACACUUUCCCUUGUUAUAUUUCAUUAAAUUUUUCCCCACCCAACUCUCCAGCCUGUCCAGGUCUUACUGAUUGACAGCACAGUGGCGUGUCAGCCACUCCUCCCAAAGUAUGCAUUAACUAUUUUGUCUGUGAAGUUGAUUUUACUACAAAAAAAAAAAAUGACUUAAUUUUUUACCCCAUAGCCUAAGACACAGCAAAAAAACUCUUUGAGUUAGCAUACAGGCAGAGCUGAGACAUGGAACAGCUCUACUUGAAGGCAAAAUGGCAUAUGUGGAGACUGGUAGAGAAGCAAAAGUGAACUAGGAUUGUUCGUGUCUCACUGAAGCUGAAAAAGUAUGCUUCAUUUAAAAUGAUAAUUUAUGGAGGUCUGAUUGCCAGGUAUUCAGUUUGGUCCUGGAAUCACUUGAACUCAGACUAUAUAUGUGAAAUAGUCAUGCUUUGCACAACUAUCAUCAGUGUCAGCUGUAUUGAACUGUCUGCCUUUUUUUUUUUUUUUUUUUGUAUUAAGCAUAAUUAUAAUUAGUUGACUAAAAUGACAAUUAUGUUCAAAAGGGACCUUUUCCAAUAAAAAAUUACACUCUGCUA